rnacentral:rRNA from 1 species
GACGAACGCUGGCGGCGUGCUUAACACAUGCAAGUCGAACGGAAAGGCCUGCUUUCCCUUGUGGAUUGCGGGUACUCGAGUGGCUAACGGGUGAGUAACACGUGCGUGAUCUUCCCCCAACUUCGGUAUAAGCCUGGUGAAACUGGGUCUAAUUCCCUAUUGGACUGCAGGGUGUUGCCUGUUGUGGAAAACGAUUUUCUAGUGGUUGGUGAUGAGCUCGCGGCCUAUCAGCUUGUUUGUGGGGUAAUGGCCUACCAAGGCGGCGACGGGUAGCCGGCAUGGGAAGGUGGACGGCGAGAGUGGGAAUGAGAUACGGGCCAGAGUCAUACGGGAGGCAGCAGUGGGGAAUAUUAGACAAUGGGAGGGAGCAUGAUGCAGCGACGCGGCGUGGGGGAUGACGGGCUUCGGGUAGUAAACUCCGUUCGACCGCGAGGAAGCCACAUGGUGGGAAGGGUGGUGACGGUAGUGGUAGAAGAAGCACCGGCUAACUACGUG